rnacentral:lncRNA from 1 species
CCCACCGCCGCGCUGGAGCAAUCUCCGACCAUCAAAAAAGGUAAAAAAAAAAUUUAUUCGCUCGAAAUUUGAUUUUGAACACCUUUAUAGUCAAAUUGGAGCAAAAAGAUCAACGAAUGAGCCAGAAAUUGCGGUUAAAGUCUCGCGCCGCUGCCGCGGAAAAAAUAAAAAAACGCCUCCGAUGAGCCCCUUUACGAUUUCCAUUUCGUGCGAUUUUUUCACCAUUGUAAUCACCAUUCUGUUUUCUACAGAUUGACCGAAGGAAAACACCCAACCGCGAAGGUGAGCCUGCGGAGCCGCCACACCGAAAAAUUUUAUCACCGGUUAGUUUUUAUUUUUUGACUUUUUUGGCCAAUUGAUGCCCCUAAACGUGUUUUCUCGCAUGGAUGAAUAUAAAAUCGAUCAAAAUCAACCUAAAAUGACCGAAAUCAAUCAAAACUGGCCGAAAACAGCCAGUCCAAGGCAAAAUGCUGCCGCGGGCGACGAUGUCGUCGCUGGAGCAUGACGAUGCUGCCAUGUCAAAAUUUCAAAAUUGGCCGAAAAAUAUUUUUAACAAUAAUUUUAGAUUUUUGGGAUAUUUUUAGAUAUUUAAAACGUGUUUUAAUCUCUGAAGAAAAAUUCAAAAAAUUCAGGAAUCAGCAAUAGGUGCAGCUGAAAGUUUAGUAUUUCAAAUACCGAUUCAUGUAAGAUUCUCUCACCUUAUUCUCUGUUAUCGAAUUGAAGUUUAAUUAUAAAUAAUACGGUAUUUUGCAUAAUUUAGAAAACUUCGAUAAUUAAUUACAAGUUAUAAUGGAGAUAGAAUCCGUUAUUUAUUACUGUUUGUUUUGUUUUAAUUGAUUGAUUGAUUUUACAGUUUUAAAUGCAUAACAAUACACUGGAGUUGGUAAGAUGAUUCAGUUAUUUUUUCUUGAUGCAUGUAUUGCUUGUUUUAUGUUAUUUACAGUUAAAUUGUGAAACUGAAAAUUAAAUAUAAAUGAAAAAUUGUUUGAUUAAGUAAAUAAAUGAAUGGUAGCCUUACUGCAUAUUCUGGGAGAUGGUGGACAGACCAGGUACAUAGGAAAUCCUACCGUGAAUGUUGCCUCAACCGGACGAGGUAUCGAGGAUUGGUAUUUUGGCGCUCAUACCGGACGAGGUAUUGAGGAAUGUUAUUUUUUGCAUUCAUACUGGACUAGGUAUGGAGAUGGCCGAUUAGUAAACAAAUAUUGAAUAGAAUUCACGCAUAAUAGAAACAUCCCUAUGGACCCCCAUAGAUACCGUAAGCAAAUAAAAAAUAAAGUUGUUGUUCUGUCCAAUUGAAAAUGAGAUUAUGAUAUUAUUUGCGUUGUUGUCUUUAUAGGUCGAUUUAAAAAUCCGAUACNNACCCUAAUUUAUUAUUUCGCUUCCGCAUUCAACUUAUAAUUUAUUUUUUUUUUUAAGUUGGGGCUGUUACAAAAAGAAUAAGAAUAACUUUAUUGAGAAAUGGUAGCCAAACUUCACCAUUGAAAUGAUAGUAAUAAAUACCCAAUAUCUAAUCUAUAAGUUACAUAAAAAUAAAAUUUUUAUUGAAUUUACACUACUCUUAAUUUUUUAUGUUUUGUUAUGUAACAAUUGCUUAUGCUGCUAAUAAUAAAAUAAAAUUAUACAUGAGAAAAUUUCAAAUUUAGGAACUUCAAAAUCAGUAAAAUUCCAUUCUCAAAGAUUAAGCAUCAAGUGAUUUGAUGGUAUUAAUAUUCUAAUGGUGAAAUUAAUUUGGGUUUACGUAAACAUCAUGGAAAAAUGUUAUGGGUUUCUAAUAGAGGAAAACAUAAUCAUUGGUCUUAUCCAUGCUAAUUACUGUUAAACCUUUUUUAUAAAAAAAAAAAAAAAAAAAAAAAAAUUUGAAAUACGCAGAGGAUUAGGUUGCCAUAUUAAGCUGGACCGGGCCCCACCCUCCAUAAUUUAAGCACCACCUCCAUUAUUUAAAUGACUUGAUAUGGUAAUGUACUGAAAGAAUAUCAUGCAUUGGGUUCGCGACACGUGUCACUGUAACAAUACUAUAGGCAUCUACCUAGGCUACUGUGGCAUUGCGUUGGACAGCAUUUUGAAGGAUAAAUACGGAAUUAAGUAAAAAUUUAUCAAUAAUAGUAAUUAUAAAAUUAUUAUUAAUUAAUCGUCUAAAGUAACUAAAAUUUUAAUUAAGCUGAUUCAAUGUAAAAGCUUAAUUAAUACAUGAUAUACGUCUAGUAAUUUAGAAAGCAAACAAGGAUUAUAUAUGACUUGAGACAGAUGGAAGAUUUUUUAACAAGGAAGAGAGAGAUUGAAGGUUUUAAAAGUAGUAAUUAGUAAAAUCUGAAUAAAAUUAUGACACUCUUAAUUUCAUUAAAAUAAAAUAAAAUAAAAUAAACAAAUAAAGUCAAAUUCUACAAAUAUAGUAAUUAGAUUUAUGUUGUUUUAUUCUAACAUGCAUACUAGAAGGUGGUAGAGAAGAAUUUUUAAUUAAAUUAUUUGAAUUUGAAUAAAAUUUUGAAUUAAACAACUAAUACAUAGAAAAAAACAUAAGUACUAACUAAUUGGAUCCUUGUUGACUUAAACUGUCAAGCCCAUUUUCUACCUAAAUGGGUUGGACAUCUGGAUUUAGUGGACCCAAUUCCUCGUUUUAAACACUUAAUGUUGGAUCCAAACCAUAAUAAUUUCCAAACUUACAAAUCUUUUUUUAUGUUAGUGAGAGCCAAGGAAGGAAACAUGUGUUGCAAUAGAAUUAAAGCAACAUCAUAUUUUUUAUUCAUUCAUUCAUUCAUUAUUAGUGCUGGUGACUGAAAAGCCUCGAAAGACUCUUAAACAAGUAAGAAAGGUAAAGAGUAAAAGUGAUGAUACAUGCGAUCAGAGCCUAGACAAGUCCUUAGGAUGAUGUAUAACAAUAUGAUUAUAAGCAUCUAAUGUAAGAAAAUCAUCAAGCACACCACCCGUGCAUUGCCUUGUGAAAAUCUUGCAUGCUUCUCUAUACAUCCCUCUCUUGAACUUCUCUUUCCCAACUUCUCUUUCAAUUCUAUUCAUCUCUUCUUCCACCACUCUUCCAAACAACUCCAGGUUCACUCUCACUCCCAAUCCAUCUCCGUCCAAUUCCACUCCAUAUUUUAUCCACUGCCAAUUCUGAACCCUGCUAAUCUCCGCUGUUGCUGCAUCUUCCAUCAGAUUGUAAAGAGGAACAGACCCUGUUCCUGUCAGCCAUGCCGCCAAAUACUGAAUUCCCACACGGGUAUUUAGCCGCAGACCUUCCAUUGUACGAACUCCUCUUGGCCUCUGUAUAAGAUCUUCUUCUGUCAACAUUGCUGCAUCUUCUCUUUUCAUGGUUUUGAUCUGGUUUUGAGCAUUACCCAUGUGGUUAUUGAAGGUUUGCAAGCAGGUUGAGAUGAGUCCAGGAUGAGCUGCCCAUGUUCCAUCAUGCCCUGCUUUCACCUCUCGCAAUUUGUCCUUGCUCACUAGCUCUAAUGCCGCCUCGUUUGCUACUGGAUCGUCUCUGACUGGAAUCUGAGCUGCCUGUAAUUCAAUAACUGUUAAAUACUUUUUUUUUUCUUGUGUAUAAAUUACAAUGUAUAUACCUAUAUAUAUAUAUAUAUAUAUAUAUAUAUAUGAUAUACCAUUCCACCCAUGGCAUGAACACCGCGUCUAUGGCAGGUUCUGAUGACGAGAUCAGAGUAACUUUUCAUCAAGUGUUGGUUCAUUCCAACCAGGACUCUGUCUGGCAAAAUGCGAUCUGGGUGAGCCUGAAAAGUUUUCACAUAGCUGAAAAUAUAAUCCCAUCUUCCACAGUUUAAACCCACCGAGUGAUCUCUUAGCUCGUAAAGAAUUUCAUCCAUUUGGAAAACUGCAGGUAAUGUUUCGAUUAGAACAGUGGCUCUGAUGCUUCCUCUUUCUAUUCCUGCCAUCUUUUCUGCUCUCUCAAACACACAAUUCCAGAUCUUCGCUUCCCUGCCAAAUCAACUAAUUCAUUAUAUUGAAUUACAACACCAUGAAAAUUAGCUCCUAAUUGUUAUUACCUUGAAUGCUCCAUUUUAGGAAGAUAGAAGAAGGGUCCAUAGCCAGCACCUUGUGUCUGCCGGAAUUUUGCAUAGUUGUGGUAAAAGUAAAGGCCAAAAUCUACAAGACAACCAGUUGCUGGUUCACCAUCAAUGAGAAUAUGAUACUCAGGAAGAUGCCAACCUCGAGGACGAACAAAUAGCUUUGCCGUCUGAUCAUUCAGCUUGUAUAUUCUGUUUCUAGCUUUAUCGUGGAAGGUUAUACUCCCAUCAACAGCAUCCUUUAAAUUAAUUUGUCCCCUAAUCAAGUUCUCCCAAGUUGGUGAGAGUGCAUCCUCGAAAUCCGCCUACACAGAAUUAACAAUAACACAUGGAUAUAUACAUAUACACAUAUAUAGUUCUGGGUGUGAAGAAAAUGUAUGGUUGCUCACCAUGAAAACUUUAGCUCCAGAAUUGAGUGCAUUGAUGACCAUUUUCCUUUCGGUAGGGCCUGUAAUCUCCACUUUUCGAUCAGCAACAGCAGGUGGAACUGGAGCACAAACCCAUUCUCGUUCCCUGAUAUACCUUGUGGCUGGAUCAAACCCUGGAACUGCACCUUCGUUGUACUUCUUCUUGGCCUCCCUGCGACACUCCAUUGCAUACUUGAUUUGGUUCCUGAAUUCCAUCUGUAAAUCCGCAACGAAUUGCAGAGCAUCAAUGGUAAGGAUCUUGGCAAACUCCGGAUCGAAUCGACCACGAAUAUCAACUCCAUCUGGAACAUCGUACAAGCUGAGAUUAUUCUUUCUGGACAUCAUUUUUGUAUGCACAGAGCUUCCAACCUCCAUUUUUGCCUUCUUUUGAACGACCCAAAACACUUGGCAAUGCAGCUGUUUAGAUACACACACACACACACACACAUAUAUAUAUAUAAUAUAUCUGAGUGCGGUGUAGUUUUUAUAUAUAUAUAACUUUUGGGUAGAUGAUAAGUAUAUAAGAUAGGAUAUGCAGAGAGAGUAUUAUCGGAACGGGGAAUGCGAGUGAUAAUGUGAUUUGUGACGUAGGUAGUACGAAUCAGAGGGAGAUGGUUUUGAAGUUUGUGCCUUUUUUCUUGGGGCGAGCGUUUUCGUUAGGAUAUGGUGGCUUCUGGAUUAAGUAUUUUUUAGAAAAAAAAAAAAAAAAAAAAAAAGCAAUCGUGAUUGGGCCGAAAAUUGGAGUACUUGAGUUUGGGCCAUAUUAUAUUAUAUGGGCCCGGCCCACUUAGCCUCCCAAUUCCAACCCUUGACUUUUUGAUGUGCUCAUUCUCAACUUCUAAUCAUAUUAAAAUUGUAAAAAAGUAUAAAAUAUAUAUUUUCACUUCAUAACUUAAAUGAAUUAUUAUUAUUAUUAGUAUGAGGAUGUGAAAAUGAAUUGGGCUUUUCAUGAUUUUUGAAAUGCAAUUAAACAUUUUUUGUUUACUUAUUUAAAAUAAAAAAUAAUAAUUCAAAAUUGCAUACUAAUCUAAGAAUUGAAGAGGCAAAAAAAUGAAAUGAAGAUGGGAGGUCCCACAAGACAUGCAUGCAUUUUUGUGGGUUUGUUACAUACAUUGUAAUUGUUUCAAGACGAUAUGAAUUGUUGAUUUUACAAAAAAAAAAAAAAAUUGACUUAUAAUAUGUUUUAUUAUCAUUUAUAUGUAUAUGUCCAUGACUCAUGAACCAGAUUUAUCCUAUCAAAUCUCAAAUGCAAUGUCACAACUAUACUACUCAAUUUGAUUUUACAAAAAAUAUAUGGAGAGAAAUGAGGGGAAAAGGCAAGAGGGAGAGAUUUGGAUUGUGAAUGUCACCGUUUUUUCAACAUGUAAAUCUCAAUUUGAUCUCCCAUUUGGAUUUAUAUAUAUAUAUUUGUGUUUGUGUUUGUGUUUGUGUUUUGUGUGUGUGUGUGUAUAUGUAUGUGGGUGUGGGGGUUCACAAUUCUUGUACCAUCUUCGAUGCCGUGUUACAUCGACAUUCUUGAGUGCUCAUAUCCAAUCACCCCCACUCUAUAUAUAACAACCCCCACAUUCUUUGAAAACCAAAUGAAUAAUACAACUAUAUAAAAUUAAAUCCUAUUUUUUUUUUAAGCAAAGGAGAUUUUAAUUUAUACACACUUGGAAAUCAAAAAAAACAAAAGUUUAUAAAAUAAUUUAUACACUCCUAACAAAUUUUUUUUUUUUUUUUUUUAAAGAAAAUCAAUAAUUGUUGUUGUAAUCAUUUUGUAUUUGUAGGUUUAUAAAUUUUUAUUUUUAAAAAAUAUCUUAACUUUUUUAUGAGUAAUUAAAUAUUUUAGACUUAUUUGUUGAAUAAACUAUUGACAAGCUUAUAAUUUUGUUUGAUGGUAUUAUGAGUUUAAAAAAAAAAAAAAGAAAAUUGAAGUUUGUCUUUUAAAAAUUGGUGUAAAUAAAAUUAACAUGUUAUUUUUGUAAAGUAUUUUAUAUAAUAUUAUUAAAAUAUUUAUAUUUGAUAAAAUUAUAUUUAAAAAAUAAAACAAUAAUAUAUUUAUUUCGAUAAAUCAAUCUUGUUAUAAAUUUUCCAAAAUAAUCAAAUUGAUUUUCUAAUUGAAAAAGCAAUAUAUAUAUCCAUUCAUUCCAUGAUUAAUACACAUUCAUGGUAAGGCAAUUUUUUUAUUGAAAAAGUGUAUAAAUACAAUUUUUUAUAGAGAGAUUGAAGUGGUAUUUGUAAAGAUAAUAAACAAAUGAGUAAAAAUAUAAUUAAUUAUUUAUAAUGCUUCAUCAAGGGAAGCACGGAACAUCUUAUUAAUUUAAUUAAUGAUAAGAUUAAAUUUAAGCAUGAUUACGGAUUUAAAGGAGAAGAGAUCAGACUAAUUCCAAGGUUAAUAUUUUUAAUGAGUUUGGAUUUUGAUAUACCAGAGAAUAUGAUGUCUCAAUAAUCGUAACAUUUUAUUGCCUUUGUUGACAGAGACAGAUUACUACUAGGCUCUAUUAAAUAUAUUAAAACAUUAUUCAUGCCUUUCCGCAUAUAUAUAUAUAUAUAUAUAUACACAUAUACAUAUAUGACUCUGUGUAUAACGUGUUUGUUGUCUUCAUUUGUUUGUACUUAUUUGAACAUUAGUGCUUUCAAGUCUUGUUUAAUAAUUACUGGGUUUUUUUUUUUUUUUAACUUCUCCAUGAUUAUAUUAAGAUUAAUUACAGUAUAUAAAUGAUUAAGAAAUUUCACUAUUAAAUUUUAUAUACGAGCUUAAAAAUUUAUAUUAGUGACUUUUAUUUCAAGAUAUAAGUGAUUAUUGUGGGUAAAAGUAGGUUAGUAUGCUUUGAUACAUAAAGUUAAUUAAUUAAAUUAUACCACUAAAAAGAAGGAUACGUAUGAAUUCUUCAAAUCUAUUUAUAUUUUUUUUAAGUAUUUAAUAAAUUUUCAUGCAUUCAUUAUUAUUAUAAAUAAGUUAUUUUAUAAUUUAUGACCUCUUUUUUAUGGAUUCAAUUAUUUGUAAAAAUUAAAAGAGUAAUGCACAUACGUAGUUGAUAGACAUAGUUAUUGUACAUAUAUGUGUUAUAUUUAUUUUUAUAUACUUAUCAUUGCAUUUAAAUAAUUAUUAGUUACUCUAUUUUAAAUUUAUUGAUGCUGACAAUUCAAUUGUUAUUUGUUAAUAUUAACAAUUCAAUUAUUAUUUUUUAAGAUUUAAGUUGAAUUUUUAGAAACAAUUAUUUACUACUUCUAUUUUUGUAUACAAAAUAUAAUAUCCGGUUCCAGAAUUUGGUCCGAUAUUAAUUUCAACAGUAAAAAAAUGUAUAAAAAUUUAUUUUUAAAAUUAAUAAAUUUUAAUUUAAUGUGAAAUUAUGGAGAAAAAAAAUAGGUUAAAUAUGAAAUUGAAAAAUAAUUUUGAAAAAAAAUAUGUGAAAAUUUGGGUUCGGAUAAUGUUUUUUUAAAAAAAAAAAUCGAAAACAAAUGGGUAGAAUACAAUUAAGAAAAAUUUUACCACGUAUGACCGCCCAGUCAGCAAUCUCAACGAAUCGAAGCGCGCCGCGUGGCAAGGCACGCUGACUCGGUGCCACGCAGAAGGCUACGUUGGCGAUCUGCGUGCCCCGCGAUCGAACGACCCGGAAGUGUUCCUUCGCGCAUGGACUAUCCAGAUCCGUUCCCUCCUCAAGAACGAUCAGACGGUCGCGAUCAAACGCAAUGAACAGUCCAUAUUUGUUCAUUUGUUAAAUACGAUCGAAUAGUUGAGAUCAAAUUGCGAUGAACAGUUCAGAUUACGCAAGACUGGUAUAAAUAUUUCGCAUCACACUGAACCAAACCCUAGCCGCUCGCCUCCCGUCGGAGAGAAAAUCAGUCGCCAAAGAAAGGAGCCNNNNNNNNNNNNNNNNNNNNNNNNNNNNNNNNNNNNNNNNNNNNNNNNNNNNNNNNNNNNNNNNNNNNNNNNNNNNNNNNNNNNNNNNNNNNNNNNNNNNNNNNNNNNNNNNNNNNNNNNNNNNNNNNNNNNNNNNNNNNNNNNNNUUAUUAUCUGUUAUGGAAUUGAAGCUUAAUAAUCGAUAUUUUGUAUAAUUUAGAAAACUUUGAGAAUAAUUAUAGGUUACUAAUAUAGCUGAAACCGAUUAGUUAUUUAUUUGUUUGUCUUGUGUAACUGAUUGUUUGCUUUUACAGCUUUAAGUACAUGAGAAUAAACUGGAAUGAUUAAAUGAUUCAGUUGUGCUUCAUUGAUGUAUAUUUACUGACUGUCUUGCGUGAUUUACGGUUAAUUUAUAAAAUUAAAAAUUAAUAUGUAAACGAAAAAUUAAUUAGUUAUGUGAAUUAAUGAAUGAUUGUCUUACUGGAUAUCUUGAAAUAUGGUGGAUUGACCGGGUACAUACGGAACGCUACCAGAAAUAUUGUUUCGUACUGGAUAGGAUAUUGAGGAAUGGUAUUUUUGUCACUCAUAUCGGACGGGGUAUGCGGACGGCCCGAUUCACCUCAUACCGGACGGGAUAUUGAGGAAUUGUAUUUUUGGCGCUCGUAUCGGACGGAGUAUGGGAACGGUCGAUUAGUUGACAAUGUUGGAUAUUAAUUCACGCGUAGUAAGACAUCCUUAUAGACCCCCAGGAGAAUAUCAGUAGGCAGAUAAAAAAAAAGUUGUUGUUCUUGCUCACUUAAAUAUGAUAUUAUAAUGUUAUUUAAGUUAUUAUCUCUAUAGGUCGAUUUUAAAAAUCUCGCAACGGUAAAUAUAUGCAAUAAAUAGUUUUCCUUAUGAUAAAUGAAUUUACCUAAAUCAAAAGCUCCAUUUGUUGUUUUUAUGAUUGUUACAAACUUCCAGUUUCUGUAUUGGUGACUAGUGUGAUGUUCUUAUUGGGUUAGUGUAGCUCACCAUUUCAUUAAUUAUUUCAAAUUAAGAAGACCAAUACCCAUAUUCCGAUCAACAAGAUGAUUGUUAAUAGUUUACUACCCGAACUCCUUUCAAAAGCUAGUGAAAAUCGUUCUAAAAUGUUCAUUAUAUUGUUUUUUGUUUUUUUUUUUUUUCGUUUGUUCUUUUAGAAUGGAGAUUCUCGUAAUCCGAUUGAGCAUUCUAAAUUAUUGUGUAAGGAAUGUAAAAUCUAAACUUUAUUAUUUCACUUCCGCACUUAAUUUACGAUUUUUUUUCAUUUUAAGAUUGGGUUCUUUGCAACAAAAAAAAAAUGUGUUAUAAUUAAUGCGGAAGCGUCAUAUAAUUAGUAAAUAUAUUUAUAAUAAGUUUGUAAUUAACUAUUAAUUAAUUCAAUAUAUAAUAAUAAUAAUAAAUUACAUAUUAAAACCAUGAAGUAAUUAGGGUAUAAAUAAAAACUAAUUUGCAGGUUAUACCUGGGGAGGAAGUAUAUUCUCCUCCAAAAUCCACUCAGCCCCGUCUUGAUAUAUAACUUACAAAGGAAAGAUUAAGAUUAAGAUUAGCUACCUCCCUACAUCUCUUCACACCAAUUAAUUAUUAUAAUAUUCAUCACUCAUGUUAUUAGUAAAUCUUUUUAAUAAGAAAUCUUGAUGGGAUAUUCACUGUAGAAAUUUUUAAUUACACAAUUAAGAAACCAUGUCCGCAAUGCAUACUUUUAAGACAUGAUAAUAACUUUUUAGAGUUGGUAGGGGAAAAACGAUACAAAUCUCAUUCAAUCAUAUUUUUUUUAUAACUUUCAAUUUUCAACUUUCUAAAUUAUUAUUAUUAUUUUUUUAUACAUCAACAAUUAUUAUUUAAAAAUAAUAAUUAAUUAAUUAAUUGUAAAAUUAAAUUAAAUUGAGUUCGUUAAAAAAACACAAGUUGAAAUAAAUAAAGAUACGAAAAUCCAAACAAGGAAGAGUGUUUACGAUAAGCAUAAAAACGGAGCAAUGACGUCAAACCCCCGUAACGUUCCAUCUCCACCUAACAACUUGAACUUGAGACGUAACCGUCCAAACCGAUCUGGCGAGGCCCACGUGUCGCUCCAAUCGAGCUUAAUGACACGUGGCGAACAGCUAUUCUUCCCGACCUUACAAGUCCGUAAAAAAAAAAAAAAGAGUCUAUAAACUGGAUACAAUACCGAUUUCAAAUCCGCCAAAUAAAAUAAUUAUAAAAAAAUAAGAAAACAAUAGGAUAAUGUGGCUGGGCAGGUGGUGCGGUGAACGGCAGGUGAGGUUAACAAUUAAAAAAAAUAAUAUAAGGCAUAACAAAAUAUCGGUCUGCGGGUUAGGGAUCAAGAGAGAAGAGAUUAAGGGAGAGAGGAGGCACAGAAAGCGUGACACCACCACCCCCCCAGCACCAGGAUUAGUGUAAACUAAACAGGGGACAAAUUGUGGGACCCACUUCCCGAAUAUUAAACUUGGCUCUUAAUUUUAAAAAUAAAAGAAUUAGGAAAACCCUUUUAAAUUAAAACUAUUUCUAAUUUCCAUCAUACCGACGCUGAUGUUUGUAUCUUCUAAUUUACUCUAUUUUAUAUUUAUUUAUUUUUAAAAUAUCUUCUUUAACUAUUUAAGAAAAAAACCCACUUUCAUUAUUUUGUAUUGCUUUGUUAUUUAUAAUCUUACAAAAUUUUAUGAUAGCAUUUUCUACUUAAUUUAUUGUUAUAUUAUUUAACACAAUACUUGAUAAAAAUUCAAACCUUCAUAAUAUAUUUUCGCUAAUGGUAUAAUUUAUUUUUAAGUAAUGAAGAACAUAAUCACAAACGUUAUCGGCCUACUUAAUUUAUUUAAUUAAACAAUGGAAAAUUUAUGUUAAUUAAUUCCGUGGAACCACAAAAAAAUUAUUUUUUUUAAAUCUUAUUUUUGUUACAAGUUUCAAAGAUUAUAAGUUAUUUGAGAUGAAUGUCAAUAAUAUACUUCUCAUUUUACGCCUCCAUUUAAAGUUUUAUAUAUAACUUCUUACUAGUUAUGAUCACUUUUUCAAAAAAAUAUGUCAUAUAUGUAAAGUUUUACAUAAACUUAAAUAAACAACUCGAACAUGGUUUAUUAUCUUUAUCGUCAAUCUAGUUCAUAUAAAAAUGCAUUUAUUAUCCAUUAAACUAGUUAGGUAUGGAUUCGCUUACACAAGAAUAAUUUAUAAAGCCUCAGUGAUGUUAAUAAAUUUCUUAAUCGACAAUUUGAGAAAAAAAGAACUUAACAUUCUUAGUUAUCUUGGAUCUUCAGGUUUCAUAUGGUCAAUAUAUAUACAACUAUCAUAGAUCAAGUAUGUUAAUGACAUUAUUUUUGUUUAUUUUAAGCUAACAUUAAAUUGAUACUUCCACAUUCACCUAUUACUAGUAGUAUUCUUAUUAAUCAUACACUAUACAGUUAAUUGGUGAGAAGUCUAAUAUAUCUUAUAAUCAUUUGUCACGAUAUUACUUCACAUUGUCAAUUAGUUCAUGAUUGCUCAUUAUAAGACCAUUUUAUAACUAUUUUUACGCUUUUCUAUAUGCUAUGAGACUUUUAUUUCAAUGAUUUCUCUCAUGAAACUCUUUACAUCUUGUUUUUGUAUCUUAUUCUUAUGUUGAUUAGUAUAGUGACUUAACUGGCUACAAAUUGAUUAUUGAUUACCAUUUUUUUUAAAAAAAAUUUCUUUAUUUUCUGGUGAAAAUAAUAAGUAAUAUAGUUUUUGCUCUCUUAUAAAAGUUGAAAAUCAAGCAUCAUUUGAUAUUAUUUCAAAACUUAUGUAAUUAUGUUGGCUACUGUAACACCCCCAAAUUUGAGAUGUAAUAAUUUAAUUUUGAGUCGACAACACUUUCGUUUCAUUUAAAUUCGUGAAUUUCUACUCAUUUAUCUCAUUUUAUUUUAUAUUAUAUCGUGGAAUGAGUAAAUAAAAAUUAAUUUAUCACUAAAUUAUAAAGAAAUAAUUAAAGGAUUAAUUUUGGACAUUUUUUAAAAUAAAUUCAAAGGCCUGGACACAAUUAUAAUAUAGUAGCGACCUAUUUGAAAAGAAAAUCAGAAAACAAUGAUCAACUCGAAAAAAACGAAAGAAACGGGCCACGUAGAUGCCAAGUUAGCAGUUCAACGAAUCGCUACAAGCCGCGUGGCAGCUACGUCAACAUGGGCUCCACACAAGAAGCCCACGCUGGCAAUUUGUGUGCCAGGCUGAUCGGGCAACUCGGGGAUACUCCCACGCGCACGAACGACCAAGAUCAACUUUCUAAACAGACUCGAUACGUGCCUUCACGUUCUCCAGAUCGAAUGGCCCAGAUGAAUUCCCUAAACAAGCACACUCGGACGGCCCGCGUGCCUCCAUAUCUCCUAGGUUGAACGACCAAAAUCAAUCGAAGAGAGAUAUUUAAACCUAUCUUCAGUCGACUCCCAAACCCUAACCAAUAUCUUGAUCGGAUAAGAAGAAUAAGGGUGGCUGGAGGAGAGGCUCAAUCGCUGGAGGGAAUAUGGCACCACCGCGCCGGAAACCAAUAAGCAUAAUUUUUCUUCCUGUUCUUCUGGUUUUUCCAUCCUAAGCUAUUUAAACCAUUCCCGAUGCAGAAAAACCAAGAAAAAUCGUAACCCAAGAAAGAGAGACGGUGGAGCUUGGCUCUGUCGCCACCCCAGAGAUCGAAAAUCGCCCGGUAAGGCAAAAAUUUCUCUAUUUUCUCCAUAAAACACCCUCCUUUAUACGAUUUACACUAAUUUCCAUUAGGAACUCACCAGAAUCGGUUUGAUCGAGAGGGAGAAACAUUAGAGAAGGAGAACCAAGCGGUGGAGCUCGGCGGCACCGCCACGACAGAACCUUAACCCGACCCAGGUGAGUUUUUUUCUACCUUUUUCACCAUCCCCUACGUAUUUUGACGUCGUUUUGAUAUCUGUUUCCAAAUUUUACUAGAAAAUCCAAGAAAUCCGAUAGUCGAGAACCGCCACUAACUGUAGUUAAAAAAUGCAGUAUUUUAGAUUUCGACCUACUAUAAGAAUCUCUCAACAUUUUUCCUGUAACAGUAAAUUAAAGCUAAAACGAUAAUAACGGUUAAUUUUAACAGUUUGUGAUUCAUUGAUGAUUAAAUANNNNNNNNNNNNNNNNNNNNNNNNNNNNNNNNNNNNNNNNNNNNNNNNNNNNNNNNNNNNNNNNNNNNNNNNNNNNNNNNNNNNNNNNNNNNNNNNNNNNNNNNNNNNNNNNNNNNNNNNNNNNNNNNNNNNNNNNNNNNNNNNNNNNNNNNNNNNNNNNNNNNNNNNNNNNNNNNNNNNNNNNNNNNNNNNNNNNNNNNNNNNNNNNNNNNNNNNNNNNNNNNNNNNNNNNNNNNNNNNNNNNNNNNNNNNNNNNNNNNNNNNNNNNNNNNNNNNNNNNNNNNNNNNNNNNNNNNNNNNNNNNNNNNNNNNNNNNNNNNNNNNNNNNNNNNNNNNNNNNNNNNNNNNNNNNNNNNNNNNNNNNNNNNNNNNNNNNNNNNNNNNNNNNNNNNNNNNNNNNNNNNNNNNNNNNNNNNNNNNNNNNNNNNNNNNNNNNNNNNNNNNNNNNNNNNNNNNNNNNNNNNNNNNNNNNNNNNNNNNNNNNNNNNNNNNNNNNNNNNNNNNNNNNNNNNNNNNNNNNNNNNNNNNNNNNNNNNNNNNNNNNNNNNNNNNNNNNNNNNNNNNNNNNNNNNNNNNUUUUUCUUACGAAAUUAUUUAAUUAAAAUAAUUUAUUUAUUUAUUUUAGUCUUAUUUUAUUAAAUUUUUGAGGAAAAAAAAAGAAUUAGGGACGAGAUUGAAAAUAAUUUUAGAAAAAAUGGUGAAAAUUUAGUUCGGGGGUCUUUUUGAAAAAAAAAUUAGAAACAAGGGGUUAAAGUGUAAAAAUAAAAAAUUUAGCCAUGUUGGACGACCUAGUCAGCAGCCCUGACGAAUCAGAGCAUGCAUUGUGUCGAAACACGCUGAUGUCAGAGCAACGCAGGACACCAUGCGGGUGAUCUAUGUGCCCAGCGAUCUAACGACCUAAGUUUGAUCCCGCGCGCGUGAACGGUUCAGAUUCAUUCCAUCUUUAGAUAUGAUCAAACGGACAAGAUCAAUCGUGAUGAAUGGCUCAUAUCGACGCAUGAUGGGUAUAAAUACCUCGCGUUAUAAGGGAACCCAAAUUCUAGCCGCCAGCCCUCACCAGAUAAGAAGGUUGACCGCUGACUGGCGCCGCACCGAAGCCAUCGCCAACCGUCAAAAAAGAUAAAAAAAAUUCAUACACACUCGAAAUUUGAUUAUGAGCAUCCUUGUUUCCAUAUCGGAGCAAGAGGGACGGCGGGUAAGUAAAAAAUUAUGGACAAAGUCCGACGGAGUUGCCAUAGCUAAAACAAAAAAAUCCUUCCGAUGAACCCUUUUUUGCUUCCCGUUUCACGCUAUUUCUUGAUCAUUUUGUUCACCGUCUUUUUCUGUGUAGGUUAGUAAAAGAAGGAGCCCCAGCCGUGAAGGAGAACCGGUGGAGCCACCGCACUUGGAGGCCCCCUGCUGGUAGGUUCGAUUUUUUAUGAUUUUUCGGCUAACCGAAGUCCUCUAACUUAUUUUCCUACAAAGAUACAUUUAAAACCAGCCAAAAUCGGGUAAAACUGGCUAAGCCGAGGCAAACUAUCACUAUCGGCGGCGGCGCUGUAUCGGAACUCCAAAAUUGCCAAAGAGAGUUUUGGACAAUUUUGGAUUUUUGAGAUAUUUUUAGAUACAUGGCGAGUGUUUUGAAUUUCGCAAAAAAAAAUUCAGAAAACUCAGCACCUGUUAGGAGGCAUAGUAGACAACGUGACGUCUCGAAAUACCAAUUCAGGUAAGGAUCCCUCACUCUAUUCUCCGUUACGAUAAAUUAAGGCUUAAUGAUGUAUAAUUUUUGUAUUUUUAUAAAAAGUUAGAAAAUUAUAAAAAUAAUUACAAGUCACUAGUAGAGCCGAAACUACUUAGUUCACAAUUGUUCUGAUUUCUUAUUUAUUUUUCUGUACUAUCUUACUUGUUUGUUAUCUUAUUGUGCAUGUUCUUAAUUUAUAGUUUUAAUUGUCUUAUUGAUUUAUCUGGUUUAUUCGAUUAUCUGAUUACUCAAUCCCUUGUUAUGAUAAACUAUAUCGUCUACAAAAAUGUCGUUUAACUAAUAUAUAAAUAUAAUAUAAGAUAUUGGUAUGCGUUUGUUGGUUAUUUUGUUGAUGUGAAUCUUUAUAUAAAAGACUUACUAGGUACCCAAGAAAAAAGGGCAAAUGAGCCCAUUACAUAGGGAAACCUACCGUGAACGUUACAUCAGUCGAACGGGGCUGGAAAGUCCCUUACUAUAAAGGUUUAACAGAUAUGGUUCACCCUCAUACCGAACCGGGUAUCGAAGCAAUAAAGUAUUUGGUGCUCAUUACCGAAUGGGGUAUGGGGACGGCCGAUUAAUUUUGAAAAUUAGAUAUUAGGUUUAUGAGUAGGAAGACAUCCCUAUGGACCCAUAAGGGUACCAGAAAGCAAGUAAGAACGAAAAAUUAUUGUCUCUUAUUCUUUUAUGUGUGAAAAUAAAAAGUAGUAUGGAUAUGAGUGUUUAUCAGUUUUUAAAAAAAAACUCGUAACGGUAAGUAUCAAAUAAGUAUCUUUAAGUUAAAUGUAUUUGAUUAAAGCAAUGGUUCCAUUAAUUAUUUUUCUAAUUUCUACAAAUCUUUAAUUUUCUGUAUCCAUAAUUAAUGUAAUAUUUUUACUGGACUAAUGUAACUCAACAUUUCAUUAACCAUUUCAGAUCAAGAAGAC